rnacentral:snRNA from 1 species
ACCCCUAUCUAGACGGGGCUUACGACUGAUCAAGAAAGGUUGUGGCCUAGAUCAACGGCUCACACUUCACUUGGUGAGUGUGUUGUUCUACCAUCUCCUCAAUUGGGAGAAUGGAUUGCUAGAGGGGGUAUGCGUAUGUGCAACCCCUAU